UACGGGGGGCAAGCGUUGUUCGGAAUUACUGGGCGUAAAGGGCUCGUAGGCGGCCAACUAAGUCCGACGUGAAAUCCCCAGGCUUAACCUGGGAACUGCGUCGGAUACUGGAUGGCUUGAAUCCGGGAGAGGGAUGCGGAAUUCCAGGUGUAGCGGUGAAAUGCGUAGAUAUCUGGAGGAACACCGGUGGCGAAGGCGGCAUCCUGGACCGGUAUUGACGCUGAUGAGCGAAAGCCAGGGGAGCAAACGGG
rnacentral:rRNA from 1 species